UGGGCAGGACACAUCAAUUUAUGCUACUAACUUAAUUCUACGCAAGGUCACUAUCAAAACUGCCCCGUACCACCGGAAGCUAUGGGGUCGGGAGAGAGCACGACCCGAAAAGUGUCUUUUGGUGUCGACGACGAGGAACGAGUCCGGAUUCUACGCGGAGUGAAGCUUUCAGAAGAUGUUCUCCAGAGGAUGAGAGGAGUGGCCAACAUUGCUCCAGAAACCACAUUCCUACCAACCUCAAGCCCUCAGAAAGACACAGGUGUUCCUCGCAGCGCCAGCUCAGGGUCAGGACCCCUGCCGGGCCCUCAGCACCAGGCCAAACCCGGUACCCAGUCCAGCACUAGCAAAUCAGCCUCCUUUGCCAAGGAAGAACAGAAAAGGUAUGAACACCAGAAGACAGCAUUGAAGGAGGAAUGGGUCAAAGUGGCGCAAAGAGAGAGGGAGGCGGCGAGGGAGGAGAUGACUAAAGCCAUGACCCAGGAAAGGCAACUAAAACGACAAGAAGCCGAGAACGCCAAACAACUGUCUGCAGAUGAGAUAAAUGUGACGGCUCAGCAGCUACAGAAGAAAGAUAUACAGCUGAAGGCAUUGGACAACUUCUACAAGGAGCAGCUGGCACAGCUGGAGAAUAGGAAUUUGGAGAGAUAUGAGCAGAGCAAGGACGAAUUCCACCGAGCUGCCUCCAAGACGGAAGAAAGCGUGAGGUCUCGCAAUACCGACCCGGUGUGUCUUGGCCUGCAGGCUCAGAUCUCAUCUUGCUACAGGGACAAUAGAGACCAGACCCUGAGGUGUUCCGACCUGGCCAAAGAAUACAUGCGCUGUAUCAAUGCUGCAAAGAAGUAAAAGUGGACACAGCGUUUUCAGAACCACUCGCAGUGCUAAUUGCUUUUGCUUGGACCAAGAACCUGCUGGUCAACCACGGAGGAUGAGGAAAAGGUCAUCGGACGUCGGCUUUUACUUUGGCACUAAGAGCGGCACUCGCCGCGUUCCCGUUUUAAGAUUAUGAGAGAGUGGCUUUUCUGUUCGCAUGCAUUGUUUUAAAAACACUCAUGAUGGUAUUUAUCUGCGGUGUCAUCCAGUAGAGGGUGCGCUGUUGUUUUUUUGCACUGCUACAUUUUACAAGGACGCUUUCCUGAUGCGCUUUCAAUUCCCGUCAUUCACAUGUUCAGGCGAAAGGGUUUCUAGGACGUGGGCUGUAGAGAUCCAUCCAGGGUCAGUCCUCCAUUUUCUGAAAUUCAGUUCAGGUGCGAGAUGAAUUCGAGUGCAUCGGGACCAUCCUGGUUUUGUUGACUGACUGAAAAAAAUAGAAGCGAUUGACUUUUAUUGUUUUUAAAUUGCGUGUUUUUUCCCCCCCAACAACACUGGAGUAAAAGCUCAGGUAAUCCUGGCCAUGUGCAAAAUACAUCAGACCUGUAGUGUAUGAAUUUAUUAAACGUUUCAUUCAUAUCCUGUGA